UCGGGGGCAGGGUAUGCCAGGCAGAGACUGAGGGAUCCUGGGAAAACCUGGAGGUCAGGUCUUCUUUGGCGGUAGUAGGCACCUCAGCCCCUAGUCCGGGGGUCUGAAACCGGCUCCAUUUCUUAGCUCUUCUACGUGUAGCGCAGUAAAGACGAAGACUGAGCUGGUCUCUGUGGAGUCGGAGGCCUCUGGACUCAUGCCAAGAAGCGGUAUAGUUGACUCACUCCGGAGACUUCGUCUUAGGUUUUGGGAAUUCAACCCGCGGGUUUCUGUGGUAGCUUCCGCUCUUUGCAGCCCCACCAACCGUGAAUGGGAGUUCUUCCCACCGCCUCCAGCAGGUUUUGUUGCUGGGCUUUGCCUUUCUGACUCCGGGGGUCAGGUUGAAGGUAAAUCCGUCUUGCUGAAGGCACAUUUAGGACCACCGGAAGUUGAUCGUCCCAGAGGCUUCCUUCCUGCCGUCAAGGUUCCACGGGUCAAGGAAAUACUACAUCAGCUGACAAGCGAGUGAAGGAGGCAGUUCAAACAGCCCCUGUGGGCUGAGACACGUAUGACCAUGACGGUGACCACCGAGGCACAGCUGUCUCUCUGUGGCAACCUCCUGUUGGGUUUCAGACCUGGGACAAGAAGGUGAGGUGCACACUUACAUACCAAAGCAGACCUGGCCUCCAGAUGCUCCCAGCAUCCCUCAGUCUUUGCCCGGUGUACUCUGCCCCCAACGCUGAACUUUCCAGCCCAGGGGCUGGGCUGCCCUUCCCUCAGAGGCUCCUCCCUACAUAAUCUGGACAUUUUCAUCUCUCUGCCCCUUCCUUCUCUCGCUCUCUCUGUCCACCCGAGA
rnacentral:lncRNA from 1 species